rnacentral:rRNA from 1 species
GUGGGGAAUAUUGGACAAUGGGCGAAAGCCUGAUCCAGCCAUGCCGCGUGUGUGAAGAAGGUCUUCGGAUUGUAAAGCACUUUAAGUUGGGAGGAAGGGCAGUAAGUUAAUACCUUGCUGUUUUGACGUUACCAACAGAAUAAGCACCGGCUAACUUCGUGCCAGCAGCCGCGGUAAUACGAAGGGUGCAAGCGUUAAUCGGAAUUACUGGGCGUAAAGCGCGCGUAGGUGGUUUUGUAAGUUGAAGGUGAAAUCCCCGGGCUCAACCUGGGAACUGCCUCCAAAACUGCAUGACUAGAGUACGGUAGAGGGUAGUGGAAUUUCCUGUGUAGCGGUGAAAUGCGUAGAUAUAGGAAGGAACACCAGUGGCGAAGGCGACUACCUGGACUGAUACUGACACUGAGGUGCGAAAGCGUGGGGAGCAAACAGGAUUAGAAACCCUAGUAGUCC